UACGAAGGGGGCUAGCGUUGCUCGGAAUUACUGGGCGUAAAGGGCGCGUAGGCGGCACUGUUAGUCAGGCGUGAAAGUCCUGGGCUCAACCUGGGAACUGCGCUUGAUACGGCAGAGCUAGAGGAUGGAAGAGGCUCGCGGAAUUCCCAGUGUAGAGGUGAAAUUCGUAGAUAUUCGGAAGAACACCAGUGGCGAAGGCGACUCGCUGGACAAGUAUUGACGCUGAGGUGCGAAAGCGUGGGGAGCAAACAGG
rnacentral:rRNA from 1 species